rnacentral:rRNA from 1 species
GAUGAACGCUAGCGGGAGGCUUAACACAUGCAAGUCGAGGGGCAGCAUAGGGUAGCAAUACUCUGAUGGCGACCGGCAAACGGGUGAGUAACGCGUAUACAACCUACCCUGUACAGGGGGAUAACCCGGAGAAAUUCGGACUAAUAUCCCGUAAUAAUAUCCGGAGGCAUCUUUGGAUAUUUAAAGUUCCGACGGUACGGGAUGGGCAUGCGUAACAUUAGCUGGUUGGUAAGGUAACGGCUUACCAAGGCUAUGAUGUUUAGGGGUCCUGAGAGGGUGGUCCCCCACACUGGUACUGAGACACGGACCAGACUCCUACGGGAGGCAGCAGUGAGGAAUAUUGGUCAAUGGGCGCAAGCCUGAACCAGCCAUCCCGCGUGCAGGAAGACGGCCCUAUGGGUUGUAAACUGCUUUUCCAGGGAGAGAAACUUACGCACGUGUUGCGUGACUGACGGUACCCUGGGAAUAAGCAUCGGCUAACUCCGUG